AUCAAAUGCUUUACCUUGCUGGAAAUAUUAUUUAUGAAAGCAAAUUGGAUUAAAAUAUAAGAAAUAGAAAGUAUCUUUUAUAUACACUACAAUCUCUACAAUUUUAAAAAAUUAGCCACACGAAAUCUACUUAAGAAUAUCUUAAGAAAUAUAGAUAUCAUUAUAGUAAUACAUGAAAAUGUGCAGCUUUAACUGUAUAAGUAACCUAAAGCACCAUUUCAUUUAACUUGUGAACUUCCUUUUUAUAAAUGUGGAAAUUAACUAAUUGGUGAAAUUCACAGAUUGCUGAAAUUCAAAUUAAUUUUGUGGCAUCACUAAUCUUAUGGGCUCUUUAAUCAUAAAGAUUAAAUAAAAUACAAUCAAACAGAGCUACAAAAAUGAAUACCAUGAAAACCGACUUUUAUUUAUCAAAUGAAGUUCAUCACUAAUCUCAUGGAUGCCGCUUAUGUGUUCCAAACCUCACGCUGCAUAAUGCCAUAAGAAUGAAAUGUCUGAUGAAAUCGUGCCUAAUAAAAGACAGAAGGUGCUGCCUGGAAACUGAGUAGGGUCUGCCCUGGUUCAAAUAUAUUUCAUUAAAAAUACUUAAAAGUGUUCUGAAUUCAGAACAUUAUGGAAAUUUAAAAGACUCAAUAGAACUGUACUAUGGGCAUCUGUACUACAGCUUAAGCUUUUGCCUGCAGUGCUGGUAUCUCAUAUGGGUGCCACUUGGAGUCCCAGAUGCUCUGCUUCCAAUCCAGCUCCCUGCUCAGGUGCCUGGGAAAGCCACGGAAUACAGCCCAAGUCCCUGGGCCCCUACACUGAUGUGGGAGACCCAGAAGAGGCUUCUGGCUCCAUGCAUCCGCCUGGCCUAGCCCCGGCCAUUGUGGCCAUUUGGGGAGUGAAACAGCAGGUGGAAGACCUCUCUCUCUCUCUCUCUCCUUCUUUCUCUGUAUUUCUGCCUUUUAAAUAAAUCAAAACCAUACUACCACAUGGACUGAAUCAUAUAGAUUAUACUAGCAGUUAAAUUUAGCAUACACAUAUGCAAAACAACAUUAAUGAAUAGAUAUUGAGCUUUGCAUCCUUGGAACAAUGCUUGACAUAUGCUAGGUAUUCAGUAAACAAGGUGAAUGAUCAAAACAUUGAGUGCAGACGAAAUUUCUCCAUUCCGUAAGACACUGUUGACAGAGGCUGGGGCAACGUGAGAGUGUUAUGCCUGCCUUCUAGCUCUGCUCCAUGGUCCCUUCUUUUAUGUGUAGUCAUGAGCUUUCUUAUCUGCGUGUCUGUUUCAGCUUUCCACGUUGUUCUCAACACUUGGUUGUCAUUUUUAAUUCAUUUAUUUCUAAAGAUUUAAUUAUUUGAAAGAGUUAGAGAGAGAAGGAUAGAGAGAGAGAGAAAGCUAACUUCCAUCUGCUGGUUCACUCCCCAAAUGGCCACAAAGACUGGGGCUGGGCCAGGCCAAAGCCAGGAGCCAGGAAUUUCUUCUAGGUCUCCCACAUGGGUGGCAGGGGCCCAAGCACUUGGACCAUCUUCUGCUGUUCUCAGGUGCAUCAGCAGGGAGCUGGAUGGGAAAUGGAGGUGCCAGGACUCUUGAAUCAGUGCCCACAUGGGAUGCUGUCAUCACAGGUAGCAGCUUAGCAUGCUAUACCACAGCACUGGCCCUAGACAUUUCUUACAUGAUCAGUUUAGAGAGCCUUCUCUGAGACUGUUUAAACGUCAGCCCAUACAAUUAGGCUCAAUGCCUCAUCACAUGCAUUCAAACCUGUAUCACUCAUUUCAGUCUGGGCUGGAGGAAGUUGAACACCAACAUGGUAAUAAACACUCUGUCUUUAAGCAAACACAAGAGUAUGCCACUGUGCUGAUGACCCUUGUCCUCUUAUCAUGCCCGCUGAGAAAUUUCAGUGCUGCCAAAAGAAUGUGUGGUUUGCUCCAGGCCUCUGGCUUCCCUUGUCUUUGAGACUCUCCCAUCUGCUUUCCAAAGCUUGCCAUUUCAAGUCCUUUCUGUGUCCCUUUGAGAUGCAUCUCCUACAUGCAGGGGUGUCUGUCUUUGAACUGCAAGCAUCCAUAAAGAAAGAAGACAGACGCUCCUAUCUGCCAACCCUUGUGGGAGUGCUGGGCUCUACGACUUUAGCAAGCACCACUGAGCAGACUCAGAUGGCCUCAUCACACUGAGCAACCUUCUCUACUCCUGUGCCCUUCGGUCCAUCUCCUUUCUGCAUGCCCUACUAUUUUAAAAGCCCCCCGCUUUUGUUUCAGAGGAGUUGAGCUCCGUUUAGACCGCAGCCCCUCUCCCCCACUGCAGUAGCCGGGGGAGAAGCAGCCCUCUGGCUUGUAGCUUAUGUCUGGCUCUGUUUCUCUUUGAUGGCAGUAGAAUGUCUUCAGCUCACACGUGGCUUUUCCUUCUGGUUUACUGAGAAAGUGUAAAUCAUCCUUGUGAUCUCCCCUAGCUUUGCAGCUCUCAACCAAAACGUCAAUGCACUCUGCUACAGGAUUGCCUUCUCUCCUCUGAUUUCAGAGGUGGUGUUUUCUGCUUUUCAGGGCCAUGGCUUUUUUUUUUUUUUUUUUUUAUAGGCAGAGUUAGACAGUGAAAGAGGAAGAGAGAGAGACAGAGAAAAAGGUCUCCCUUCUGUUGGUUCAUCCCUCUAAGUGGCCGCUGUGGCCGCUAUGGCCGGCACCGCGCCAAUCCGAAGCCAGGAGCUUCUUCCUGGUCUCCCAUGAGGAGGCAGGGCCCAAGGACUUGGGACAUCCUCCACUGCCCGGGAGAGCUGGACCAGAAGAGGAGCAACCUGGACAGAACCGGCGCCCCAACCGGGACUAGAACCCGGGGUGCCGGCACCGCAGGCAGAGGGUGAGCUGCAGCGCUGGCCAAGGGCCAACGCAUUUCUAAGAGCUCUGAUUUUCACUUCCCCACCAUUCACAGUUCUCCCUUUUCUACAUGAUCAAAUCUCCUUUAAACCGCAUUCUUCCUCUUGGCAUAGCAAACUCCUUUCUGCACAGAUUUUAAACUCCCCCUGGUCUUAUUAAAUUCAAAUUCACAGUGUAAAAAGCAAAAUUGGAUGCUAAUUUCUAUUUCCCAUUCUAAGGCCAAUAUUAUUUCCACUAUGCUUCUCAGUCUCAUGGUCAAUGGGGAUAAGAGAGCCUACAUUUUUCACAGUGUCAAAGAAAAUCACUUUACUGAAAAGCUUCAAGUUAUUCAAAUGCAAGUAUCUAAUUUGAUGUUCUUACUCAUGUUCUGAAUACUAAAAUGGACAUCAAAACAGAAACAGGUAUGAACACAGUCCCGAAGCCCACAUCUUAGCUGAGCACUCUCCGCCCUCAUGCUCCUGUUAACAUAUCUUCCUCCACUGUGCCAUCAAUUUCUCCUUCCCAGCUCAUAGCAGACGACAUAGAUCUUCCCCAAAUGGUCCAUAAAUUCUCCUGUCCAGCUCCUACCCAAAUCCACAGAAACAAUAGCUCCCUACGCAAAACCUGAUGUCAUAACAUCACCAAGGCAACAUAACCCUGAAGAAAUAAGAUGCAAAUUUUGUCCUGACAAUUAAUUAGCUGCAGUGACAAUCUUAGUUGCUAUGCCUGGCAAGCAGUACAAAUCGACAUCAGUCCCCUGACAAUCUUCUUGUCCUCGUUGGCAGUAAGUAAAAUAACAGAUCUCUGUUCAGAAAGUAUUUUUUUUCCCUCAACCAAAAUCACAAACUUUUAUUGUCAGGCCACCUCAGGGGAAGUACCCAUUUUUCACAUGUGGAUUACACAGCAGCUGAAACUGCUCCGGGUUUCACGGUGGCCAACAAAAGUCCCCUGUGCAGAGUCAAGAGAGAACGAGGGUCAAACUAAUUUGAAGUGGCAGGGCAAGCACAGGAAUGCACUUUAAGAUUAAGAGCUUUAUAUCACUUAGCGCACUAAUGAAAACACAAGGCGAACCCCAGGCUUUUCAACAAGGCAGAUCAGUCCCUGAUUUGGUGGACUGCCAAUCAACAAAAUAGACACACCUGCAGAGCUGUAAGUGGAGCCGGAAGACGCUGGUGGCAUGUUCUAGCAGCAGACUGGGGUGUUUAAUAGGCAGAGAAAGAACUUGAGACUUCACUUCAAUGGUGCUCCCAUGGAGAGUGAUGACUCCACACUGUAAAACUGUGAUUUGGUUUCCACACACUCUGACUGGGAGGUUAGGUUUUCUUUAGUCUUUUAUUUCCUGCCUUCUUGAUUCAUUUUAAUUGUACCUAAAGCAAGGGCUGUAUUUACACAGGUGUGUCGUACUGAACUUUCCAAAUUUGUAAAGCUAUUAUAAGAAGAUACCAUUACAAAAAAUUUAGUUUACAGAACUAGCUGGCUUUUGUUCCCAAUUGUAAAUUUGGGAAACACCUCUUUCCAUAAACGAGUAUGAGUGUUCUGAUGAGUUUAUGCAGGAGAACUUUCUUAAUCUGUCAGUGUAUGAAAAUCUUUGUGGUUACUGAGGACACUGAUUCAUGAGUAAGGUUACAGAAUCUUAUUAUAAAUAUAUAUUUUACAAUAAAAAAUAAGACUAUGAAAGAGAAUUUUUCUAAAAAUAAAUAGCAUGCCCUGUGUCUCUGGUGUCAAGGCCUGUCUACCUUCAGACAGUGACGAUGACAUUAACUCAGUGAUUUCAAGGUCAGGAGCAAGGGCAUCAAGCCACAAAGAUUUUUGUUCUUUAGAGGCUCUUGUAUAGUUCAAUAUCUUUUUUUUUUUUUUAGGAUUUAUUUAUUUCUUUGAAAAUCAUAGUUACACAGAGAAAGAGGUUUUACAUCCACUGGUUCACUCCCCAAUUGGCCGCAAUGGCCGGAGCUGUGCCAAUCCAGAGCCAGGAGCCUCUUUCAGGUCUCCUAUGUGGGUGCAGGGGUGCAAGGACUUGGGCCAUCCUCCACUGCUUUCCCAGGCCACAGCAGAGAGCUGGAUCAGAAGUGGAGCAACCAGGGCUCAAACCGGUGCCCACAUGGGAUGCCAGCACUGCAGGCAGCGGCUCCAACAGCUACCGCCACAGUGCCAGCCCUAAUAGUUCAGUAUCUUAAUACAUGGUGAUCACAGCUGGGAGGAUUUGUUUUACUUUGUGCACUGUCCUGUAUCAACAGUCUUUAAAUGUUUGUAAAGUCCUGUGGUCCUCCUCCAACCUGCAUGUCUUUCAUACUCAUUCCAAAUAUUAAAAGUCUAAUAUUACCAACACAUUCCAUUCCCCAGUGCCCCCUCCUGUUUACCUACAAAUGAGCCUUUCCCCAGCCUGUGCCUGCUCCUGCCACAUUUGUAUCUUGACACUUUCUAUCACAGGUGAUGUCGUUCAUGUACCUGAUGUAGCCUGGUCUUGAAUACCCUCCCCCAUUUUCAAAUAUUUAAAAACACUUUAUCUUCUCCACAAACACAUUCACUGAACUGCUUCCAGAAGUUGCCCUUGAUAAUAUUCUUUUCCAUUCCUUUUCACACUGAAUUGUCUUAGAACUCUGGUACAGUCAGGGACCAGAAAUUCUUUCUCCUUCCUUCCUAUAUUUACUGGGCAUUUGUUGUCUGCCCUGCCCUGAAAUAUGUCUUAAGUAAACCAGCCUUGCAUGUUGUGAGAAUGACUGUGUGUCAGGCACCCUGCUAAGCUCUUCAAUAAAGCAUUUGCCAGGGUGGCACAAUGAUAAAAGUGGGAAGCGAUAGACCUGGCAGGGGGUGGGGGAGGGGAUGAGAAAGCAUACUGCAAUGGGCCAUCCUGUAGAUAUGUAGAAAAGGCCAGGGGAGCACUACACAAGGAAGGUGAUCAGAGGCCAUGCACAGAGGGCAGGAAAGAGACAGACAUUUCUUGCUGGUCCCAGUCUGCAGCAUUUUAAUGCAAAGUCACACUCAUACAAUUUCAUUUGCGUGAAAAGACACAAAACCUAGAGCAAGUAACACAUUUUCUGGUGGACACCAACCUUCCUUCACCCUCUCUUGUUGUCCAGAACACUAGGGCAAGCAUGGAUAUCCCUGUAGGAACCUAAGAAUCCUUAUGUGAAUACAUCCCAUCUCUCCUCAUAGUUAUUACACCAUAUCACUCUCCUUCCUAGCACUUGGCAUAGAUGCGAUUUUGAAUUUUUAAAAACAUGGUUACUUGAUAACUUUCUAUAAUACUAGACUGUAAAAGCUACAAUGGCAGAAUUGUGCCCUUUGUAUCCUGAGUAACUAACAUAAUACCUGCCAUCUUAAAAUGCUCAAUAAAUGGGUCUCAUCAAAAAUCAAUGAGUGAUAACAUUAUGAGCUGCUAAGUUGCACAUAAACUUAGAUUCAUAUCUUGUAUAAUGUUUCUAAUAACUCUGUUUAAAAUAUGAGAUGAAUGGUUCCUUUUAAAUAUUUUAUUGACAGAGGAUUUCAAAUCUUUAUGGGGUACGGUAUGAUGUUUUCAUACAUUGCUACAUUGUGUAUUGAUGAACUCAAAGACCUUGAUUAUCCCUAAUCUCAAACAUUCAUCAAUUCUUUGUGGUAAGAACAUUCUAAAUCCUCCCUUCUAGCUAUUUUGGAUAAUAUGACAUAACACUGUUAACUAUAAUCACCCUCUGUGUAGAAUUCCACCAGAAUGUAUUUCUUCUAUUUAACUGUGACCGCAUUGUUCCCAUCAAGAAUUCCCUCACCCACUCCCUACCCCCAGUCUUCUCAGCCUCUGGUAACCUCUCUUCUGCUCACUAAGAUAACUGAGUAUUUGAGACCUAUCAAAUAGCAGUGUUAAGAUGUAAAUCCAGCUCUGUAUGGCCUUUCUGCAGCUGUACUCUGAGCCCCUACGUUAUAUUAGCUCACAAAAAGAUCCAUGUUCUGUACAGAAAAAGGGAAGAUGGUUAAUGCAGAAAGUUUACAGAAACAGCAGGGGCUAGAAGCAACAGACAGAGUGAAGAGUUAUUUUUAGCAAGGCCAUCUGACACAGAAUUCUUGAAUUUUGAAUUCCCACUACUUUUUAUUUUCUACAAUGAACAAAAUAAAGAUAUAUUACAAACAACUGAAAUAUCCAAAAUAAGAUAACUGUUAAGGCUUACCUAUGUGGCAGAACACUAUGUAGUUGCUUAAACUCAUUAUAAGAAUACAGAAAAAUGUUCAAGAUACAUCAUUAGAUGGAAAAGGUAGACUAUAAGCUAAACCAUGAUUUCAGUUUUGUUAAAGUACAUAUUGGAUAUGUUUUAAUAUUGUUAGAAUACACAUUUUAGGAUACAUACCAAAAUGUUAGUGGUGAUGCUAUGAACAGUAGAAUUAUGGAUGAUAUUAAUUUUCUGUUUUUAAUUUUUUCUUAUUUUCUCUAAUUACCAUAUGUUGCUUUUAAAUUCUUGGACGGCGUAAUUCAUAUAAUUCACUGUGAAAUAUUAACAAUGGUAUUUUUAUAUUUUUAAAAAUGUAAGCUACUGAGAAAGCUUAUAAUACUGAAAUAAUACUGAAAAUCCCCCAAAAUAUGUUUUGACAGCAUUCAAGUUCAAAAUAGAAUUACCCUGUGUUUUUUCCUGCUUUUAUAUAUAUAUAUAUAUUUAUAUAUAUAUAUAUAUAUAUUACAGGCAGAGUGGACAGUGAGAGAGAGACAGAGAGAAAGGUCUUCCUUUGCCAUUGGUUCACCCUCCAAUGGCAAAUCAGGCACACCGCACUGAUUUGAAGCCAGAAGCCAGGUGCUUCUCCCAGUCUCCCAUGGGGUGCAGGGCCCAAGCACUUGGGCCAUCUUCUACCGCACUCCCAGGCCAUAGCAGAGAGCUGGCUUGGAAGAGGGGCAACCAGAACAGAAUCCGACGCCCCGACUGGGACUAGAACCCGGUGUGCCGGUGCCGCUAGGCAGAGGAUUAGCCUAUUGAGCUGCAGCGCCAGCCAUUUCCUGCUUCUUUCUACAUAAUUCUGCUACCCAAAGUGAUGUCCUUAGCGACUAUUUUAUGACACAUUUGCAGUUGAUGCAUUAAUUUUGGGGUCUGGUUUUUUUGUCCAACACAUACACCAAAAUAUACAUUUUUCAAAAAUGUGGAUUCUAAAAUAAAUAGUUUGCAUCCAUAACAUUACUAAACAUCCCAGAGUCCCUGUAACCAUACUAGGCUUAUUUUCGUAGUCAACGUUUGCCUUUCGGCUGCCUUGGGAUCUGGCUUCCUUCCCGGAUUAUAUCUUGGCUCCUGCUAAGAGCCAACCAAGUGGUGAAAAUGCAGAUGUAGAAGCCAAAAGACUGGAAAGAAGAGAGCUUACUAAAUAAGCCAGCCUGGCAGCUAGCUAGCAGGCUGUUUCUGGUAGAGGGAAGCCAAAGAGAAGCUACCCCAGUGAGCUGCUGAGGGGGUUCCAGGGUGGAUCACAGAACAGCUGGGACACGUUUUAGGGAGUUCAGAAAAUGGGAGGUUCCAAAUCUGACUUCUGACUGUCACCUAAUUAUACUUCUCAUUUGCUUAUGCCCAAUGAGUGUCUCUCCUUUUAUUUCCUCCUAUGGUGUUUUCUACUUUCUUUACAUUCUAUGAUAAUAAGUGCCAAAUUUUAAUAGUGAAAUUUGUGUGCCUUGCUAUGUGUCUGAGUAGAAACAUAAGCUGGCCUAAUUGUCCCCAAAAAUCUACACCCAGAAUAAAAUAUAAGACCGAGAAGGGAAUAGAUUCCUGAAAACAUUAGCAGGAUAUCCUUAACCUCCUACAAACUCUAUGGAAAUCAGAGCCCCCGGAAAACCUAGGGGUCUUGCCAAAGUAUGAGGGUAACCUUGGAGUUAUUCUCCUGGGAUACUGAGCAAUAAAGAACAAAAGGAGUAUUGAGCAAACAACAGACAGAUGUGGAUUACUGAGGACUACAGGCCAGACAAAGCCUGUGUUGGCAAUCAGAGGUGGCAGAGUAAAGUCCAACUCUCCCAAAUCCCCGUCUCUAAAGGCAAGUGGGAGCCUCCCAGCAGAAGCUAUGGGGUAAUCCGAGGAUUCUGUUUCAGGAAGGGUUUGCCCUUCAGAAAGAGCGUCUAUGCUUACACAUGCAUAUUACUUUACUCUUAAUUCGGCCUAAACUAAACAUUUAACUAUAAUACUAUACCCCUUAUUUAUGAGAUAUUCUGUAUAUCUAUUUAAAGGUAAUAAAUCUAUAAGGAAUCCUGAUGGUAUUAGAACUGUUUAGUGUCUGGAUUCUGGUAGCAAAUAAAUGAACCUACACAGAUGCUAAAGUGUAUCGAAUUUAAUACCCACAUACACAUCAACGAAUACAAAUAAAAAUGGGGAAGCCAAAAUAAGAUAUUUGGAUUGUGUAAACGUCUGUAUAUAAGUUGUGAUAUUGUAUAGUAGAUUCAUGAAAUGUUAAUAUUGGAGAAAGCUAGGCAAAAAUGUACAAGAGAUCUGUGUUAUUUCUUAUAAUUUAUAUGAAUCUAUCAUUGUCUCAAUUUAAAAAAAAAAAUCUUUAAAUAGCCAGCCAACAUCCAGUUAAAUGAGAUGUGUCGUAUAUUCCUACCUUGGAAAAUGUAUACUCACAAUUACCUGGAAUCCAGGCACAAGGCACAGUUUCCCUGACUCCUUGGAGUUUGGUGCAGGAUUGUGGCUGCCUUUAAGGAAGCAGUCCCAGCCCGGUGUCCUGCCUUCUCUUCUCAGGCUCCAGCAGCACUAUGUAAGGUGCCUGAAAUGCCCAUUUAUGAACGCCCAAGCUUGCAGAACACACAAGCUCCAUCUGCACUCCUUACACCUCUCAAGGCAACUCUUCCUUGGCCAUUUUGUGCAAGAGUCAGAACCCCAUUAAUGUAAAGUACUGGGUCCCAGAUACUUGGAGCUGGUCUUCCUGCCUGACAGGAGGGGCUGUAGCUUCUGCAUGGGAAAAUCUCCUUGACUCUCUAAUUCGCCACGUUGCAGAGAGGCAAGGUCAGAAAAGGGCCCAGGAUAAGACCCAAGGAAGGAACAUUCUUAUUAAAAGAGGUAUCAGCCAUCACUGCUUAUAGAUAGGAGAAUUGGGAAAGUAGAGAAAUUAUGGCUCCUGCAAUUAAUGGAAAACUAGUGCUCACAGGUUUCUAGCCAGAUCUCUUGGAGCCCAGGCUAUAAUGCUAUAGCAUACCAUCUUCUUUUGGAAACAUGAGUAAAAUGCUCAUUUCCUAUCAUUAAGGAGUCCACAGGGGCUGUCCUACCUACUCACAUAUUUCCUAAUUAUGAGUCAGAUAGGUAAUUGCCUUUCUCAGGACUUGUGUCAUUUAUUUAAUAAUGUAGAUUAUUGCUGAAAUCAAAUCCAAUUCUACAAGCAUUCAUUGAGAACAUAUGCCACAGUCAUUUAGACACUAUUCAUUAUCUAUAGGGCUAGGUCCUUAAUCUUCAUUAAUUCAGGUGCCAACUUGACAACAUAAAAAAAUAGAUGCUACAUUUAUAGAAAUGCACUUUGCAGAAAUCACCACAAACAGUAAUGCUUUAGUGGGCAUCCUGAGGCCCUUCUAUGCACUUUGCUCUGUUUUCUCAUUUCUAGAAAUUUCUCCCUAGUUUCAAAGAAUAAAUGGAUUAUGUAGGAUGAUACAUACCCUCCCUUCUCCCAAGUAGGCAAAAUGGACAAUGGAGAGAAAUGGAAAUGGAGAAGAGUAGAAAGCUUAGGCAUGAGGGAUAUUUUCAGAUUUGUCAACCUAUGUCUUCCCAGAACCCUACCCUCUAAAUCUAAGAAAGAUCAGUAACUCCUGGCUCCUUUCAGUCAAGAAAGUCUCAGUCUGUUUCUUCAAGGUUCCCCAGUAUUUCCUAUUGAUGGAGGGAUUUAGACAAAAUGGGACUGACUCCACCCUACAUCACACUCAGCAUACUGAGUGGUCCACCCUACCAGCUGGGGAAAAACACACUUCACUGCCACACUGUGCCCUGGGUACUUGUCAUACAUCUCUUCUAGUCAUCGUUGCUGAAGAUGAGGGCAUAUCAGGAAGACAUGUGGAUGUGAGGACAGGAGUCAGGAGCACUUUUACAGACAUUCCAGAGAUAUAUUCUUCUGGCUUCUUUUGUGCAUCACGUUUCAAUAAGGCUCUGGAACCCAAAAUCUUCAGGUAAGAAAAUGUUACAUUAGCAAGACAAAUUUAGGGGAAAGACGGAAAAAGUUGGGCAUUAUAAAUGUGGAUAAGUAAAGGAAAUAUUUGGUUAAAGUUAAAUAGUUGAGACUCACAGCCAAGUUUUACUAUUUCUUUUCAAUUCCUUAUAAUUAAAACUACUAUUUGACUAUUUAAAAUGAAAAAAUAGAAUAUCAUUCUGAAAAUGAAAUAACUAAUUGGCAAAAUUCAAGAAUGCUAAAGUAUUUGAAAUAUGUAAAAAGAAUUCACCUACAAUAUUUUCCCAGUAUAGAGCAUGCUGAAAGUGAAUGAAAUCAGUCACUGACGCGAGCUGGGUCACAAAGGACUGAAGAGUGGGAUAUUGCCAAAGAAGGGGGUCAGUGCCAAGGGGACAAAGCAAGAGGGCAUGCCACCCUUGGCAGCAAGGCAGAGGUGGGUCUCCCACAUCACCGAGAGAGAUCCAUCAACAUGUGGACAGCUUGGGCCAGCACUGUGGCGGAACAGGUAGAGCUGCUGCCUGCAAUGCCAGCAUCCCAUGUGGGCACUGGUUCAAGUCCCAGCUGUCCACUUUGAUUCAGCUCCCUGCUAAUGCACCUGGGAAAGCAGAGGCAGAUGGUCCAAGUCCUUGGACCCCUGCACCCAAGUGGGAAACCUGGAAGAAGUUUCUGGCUCCUGGCUUUGGCCUGGCCCAGCCCUGGCCAUUGUGGCCAUUUGGGGAGGGAACCAGUGGAUAGAUGAAAGGUUCUCUCUCUCUCUCUCUCUCUCUCUCUCUCUCUCUCUCUCUCUGCCUCUCUGUCACUCUUUCAAAUAAAGAAAUUUUCAAAAAAAAAAAAAAUAAGCAGACAUCUGCAGGAACUGAAAGUGCCUCCUGCCACCACACUGUCCUCUCUGCCUUCUACUCUCAACAUAGCUACCAAAGACCCACCCCAGGCCCCAAGUUCUUCCUGUUAUAUUUGAAAGAAAACUCAGAACGUACCUUCCCAUGCCCUCCAGUGCAUAAUCUAGUUCCUCAUUGUUUCUUCAAUUACAUUUCCCAUUAUUUUCUCCCCUUGUGUAUUCUACUUGAUCCACUCAGAUCAACUAGCUGUUCCACUGGUUCUUCAUGCUUGCUGUCAUUUCAAGAACUUUGUAUUUGCUCUAUCCUCUGUCCAGGAAUUUCUUCCUAUAAUUGUCACACAGCUCCCUUCUGCAGUUAGUCAGCUCCCUGUUGAAAUGACAUUCCCCAAUCCAAAAUCAAAAUCUCCCAUUACCUUAUCCAAAAAAAAGAAUAGAAUUCACUUAAAUCACUCUCCCUCCUCCUAUCUUUGCUAUUCUUUCUUCACAAUAAGAGAUACGGAAACCAUGCUAUUUUCGUUCAUUUAUAGACUAACCUCCAUUCUGGUUUAAAAACCCAUGAAAGCAGACAGUUUCUUUGGAUCGCCUCUGUUUCUGCAGUGCCUACAACUCAUGCAGUGUGUGGUGAACACUCAAUAGCUGUGGAAGCGGCAAAUGAAGGCAAGUGAGGGCUCAACAGUAGAGUGCGAUGCGGGCGAUGAAGAGGGCUGCCCUCAGAAGCUUGUAUCAAUAUUCUCGGUGGAGGCAGGCAGCUGGAGACAUGGUUAAGUCACCGCUUUGUUUGCGAGCGUCCUGUAUUGGAGUGCCUGGUUCAAGUCCCAGCUACACCACUUCUGAUCCAUGGCCCUUGUGAAUGCACAUCCUCGAAGGCAGCGGAUGAUAACCCAAGAACUUGUGUCCUCACCACCCAGGUGGGAGACUGCAUUGAGAUCUGGGCUCCUGGCUUCAUCCUGGCGCAGCCCUGGCUGUUGUGGUCAUUUGGGAAGUGAACCAGCAAAUGGAUGAUCUCUCUCUCUCUCUCUCUCUGUCAAAUAAACAUUUUGUUAAAAAGUU